GAAAUGAAAGAGCUUUUGGCUGACGGGGCGAGUGAUGGACACAGAGAGCGGGUUGUGAAAGGAGACCGGCCAGCGGCAAAGAGGGGCCUGGUAAAGAAUUGGCAAGGCUGCGUGAAGCCCUCGGUGGAAAACCCUGAACAUCGGCUUGUCCGUCUGUCGCACCGUCCUAGGAGGCAAAUCAUUUUUGCCUGCGGCAGCUGCCUGCCAGGAAGCUGCCCAUCCGUGGGGGCCUUUGGAAAAGUGGAUGUGUCUGGACUUCUGCCCAACCCUGUGGAUGAAGAUGAGAAGAAAAGGCCCCCAGUGAGGUCUCUGAAGGCUGAGAGAUGGGGAGCACCCCAGUGGCUGACACUUGUGAGUCAGAGCGAUGGGAAGGAUUGAGAAACAGAGGGAAAGGAUGUGGGGGCGGGAGGAGGUGGGAGGCAGCUUUGUUUCUUCAGUCUGGGUCUGUCAGGGCCUGUCUCCUUCCUUGACGGGUCCCCGCAUUAUUCACCCGUCCUUUGAAAACUCGAGUCUGACUUCUUCCAGGUGAAGAAUCUAAGCUUGGUCUCUCAAAGGAGCACUCGCCCUGUGAGAAAUCUCUUUCAGAAGUUAAAAAAAAAAAAAAAAA
rnacentral:lncRNA from 1 species